GUCGCCGGGGCGUAUCCCGGCGCGCUCGGCGGGACCGGCCUCCUGGACGCGGGCCACCUCCACGGCGCCGUC
rnacentral:tRNA from 1 species